rnacentral:rRNA from 1 species
UACAGAGGUCUCAAGCGUUGUUCGGAUUCAUCGGGCGUAAAGGGGUGCGUAGGCGGCGCGGUAAGUCGGGUGUGAAAUCUCGGGGCUUAACUCCGAAACUGCAUUCGAUACUGCCGUGCUUGAGGACUGGAGAGGAGACUGGAAUUUACGGUGUAGCGGUGAAAUGCGUAGAUAUCGUAAGGAAGACCAGUGGCGAAGGCGGGUCUCUGGACAGUUCCUGACGCUGAGGCACGAAGGUCAGGGGGAGCAAACGGGG